GACGAACCGUGCGAACGUUGUUCGGAAUCACUGGGCUUAAAGGGCGCGUAGGCGGCUAACCAAGUCCGGGGUGAAAUCCUGCAGCUUAACUGUAGAAGUGCCUUGGAUACUGGUCGGCUCGAGGGAAGUAGGGGUCUGUGGAACUGCUGGUGGAGCGGUGAAAUGCGUUGAUAUCAGCAGGAACGCCGGUGGCGAAAGCGACGGACUGGACUUCUUCUGACGCUGAGGCGCGAAAGCUAGGGGAGCAAACGGGAUUAGAAACCCCAGUAGUCC
rnacentral:rRNA from 1 species